rnacentral:misc_RNA from 1 species
GAUGAUGAACGCAGCGAAAUGCGAUAAGUAAUGUGAAUUGCAGAUUUCAGUGAAUCAUCGAAUCUUUGAACGCACAUUGCGCCCAUUAGCAUUCUAGUGGGCAUGCCUGUUCGAGCGUCAUUUCAACCCUUAAGCCCUGUUGCUUAGCGUUGGGAGCCUACAGUACUGUAGCUCCCCAAAGUUAGUGGCGGAGUCGGUUUCACACUCUAGACGUAGUAAUUUUUUCUCGUCUGUAGUUGAGCCGGUCCCCUGCCGUAAAACACCCAAUUUAUCAAGGUUGACCUCGGAUCAGGUAGGAAUACCCGCUGAACUUAAGCAUAUCAAUAAGCGGAGGA